rnacentral:rRNA from 1 species
AUUGAACGCUGGCGGCAUGCCUUACACAUGCAAGUCGAACGGUAACAGGUCUUCGGAUGCUGACGAGUGGCGAACGGGUGAGUAAUACAUCGGAACGUGCCCGAUCGUGGGGGAUAACGGAGCGAAAGCUUUGCUAAUACCGCAUACGAUCUACGGAUGAAAGCAGGGGACCGCAAGGCCUUGCGCGGACGGAGCGGCCGAUGGCAGAUUAGGUAGUUGGUGGGAUAAAAGCUUACCAAGCCGACGAUCUGUAGCUGGUCUGAGAGGACGACCAGCCACACUGGGACUGAGACACGGCCCAGACUCCUACGGGAGGCAGCAGUGGGGAAUUUUGGACAAUGGGCGCAAGCCUGGUCCAGCCAUGCCGCGUGCAGGAUGAAGGCCUUCGGGUUGUAAACUGCUUUUGUACGGAACGAAACGGCGAGCUCUAAUACAGUUUGCUAAUGACGGUACCGUAAGAAUAAGCACCGGCUAACUACGUG